rnacentral:rRNA from 1 species
UACGUAGGGUGCAAGCGUUGUCCGGAAUUAUUGGGCGUAAAGAGCUCGUAGGCGGCUUGGUAAGUCGGGUGUGAAACCUCCAGGCUCAACCUGGAGACGCCACUCGAUACUGCCAUGGCUAGAGUCCGGUAGGGGACCACGGAAUUCCUGGUGUAGCGGUGAAAUGCGCAGAUAUCAGGAGGAACACCGGUGGCGAAGGCGGUGGUCUGGGCCGGCACUGACGCUGAGGAGCGAAAGCGUGGGUAGCAAACAGG